rnacentral:lncRNA from 1 species
UUGAAUACUAAGUUUAACACUUACAUGUUUAGCCUAUCAUUUUGGCUAACAGUAACUCAAAUAUUAUAGAGAGAGAGAGUAGAACAGUACUAGAGACUGGCUGGUUAUGGCCAUGUGACCUUUUUGAUUUGUAUUGCUGAAUUCAAAAUACUACAAAAUUACAAAGGGUGUUUUUACAAGGAUAGAGAAGGCUAGAGAGAUAUUCC